UACGUAGGGUGCGAGCGUUGUCCGGAAUUAUUGGGCGUAAAGGGCUCGUAGGCGGUUUGUCGCGUCGGGCGUGAAAACCCAGGGCUUAACCCUGGGCUGGCUUCCGAUACGGGCAGACUAGAGGUAUGCAGGGGAGAACGGAAUUCCUGGUGUAGCGGUGAAAUGCGCAGAUAUCAGGAGGAACACCAAUGGCGAAGGCAGCUCGCUGGGACGGUACUGACGCUGAGACGCGAAAGCGUGGGGAGCAAACAGG
rnacentral:rRNA from 1 species